AAAGCCCUCGACGCCGCCGAUUCCGCUACUAGGCGCUUGCGCAAGGGGGUGGAGUUUCUUCCCGCUGCCUUGACCUGCUAGAAGAGCCGUUACCGGAACGGAGCCCGGGGAUGAUCUGAAAAAACUGGGUGAACUGUAAGGUUAAGGGCCCAACACGGUUUCCAGGAAAGAAGCUAGCUCAGAGACGGAAAAACCUCAGGAACCUGGUGAAUUAUUGAGAGGGAAUUGGGAUAAGCCAUUCUGCCCUCCACCCCUUUCCUCAGGGUACAGCUGGAAUUGAGGUCUCAGUUUCUUCAGUCUUUAGAAUGAAAGAUUUGGACUUGAUCAAUGAGGAGCAACCGAAGGUUUACAAAUCAAGUGACUUUUCAAUUAACAUCUGGUUAUUCAGGGUCUUCCCUGCCAAUCCAUUCACUUCUCAAUAAUUUUACCUCUUCCAUAAGGUUAUAUCUAAGGUCACAGAACCAAGAUUUGCUGACUUGUCAAGAUGUGCCUUUCUGUGUGCACAUGUACAGAUGGUAGCAUCUGGUUUUUGCUUAUUGUUUACACAGGUUGGCAUUCACCAAGAGGUGCAGCCUCCCAUUCUGCCCUUGGCCAGCAGCCCAGGCAAGAUCCUAUGAGUCAUUCUUCGUUCCCAUCCACAGGGUCUCUUUGGGUCCAAUAGCUCUUUGUUUCCACAACUAUGUCACUUAUGGGUACAAAAAGAAAAUAUGCAGCUUCCCCUGACACCUUGGAGUACAGGGAAACUCAGUAAACCUCUCUCAUGGUCACUAAUCUAGACACUAUGCAGCUGCUUCUGCCCCCAGAGGGUCUGUCACCAACUGCUUUCUCCUUGAGAAAGGAGACCAUAGGCACAUGUUGAGAUAGGCACACGUUGCUCCUAAAUCCCUGAACCUAUUUGCCUUAGAUUUCUCCUGUUCCCUCCCUCCCCUUCCUAUUUCUUGGCGUUGGAAGAGGGGUUGUUGGAUCCUCUUCUCAGACUCCAUUUGCAUCUAGAACUCUUUGCUUCUGACUUUUCCUCCUCUUCGCCCCAGAGUAACCUUCAUACUCAUUCCUUUGUAUCUCUUGUUUUAUGUGACAGAGCAAUGCAGUGUAGGGGGUAAUCACUCAGGCUGCCACUCUUAUGUCCUGUGACAAUAGCAAAGCUGCAUAAUAUAGUGUGCCUCAGUUUCAUCAUAUGUAAAAUGGGGUUAAUAAUAGCACCCACCUGUAUUAGUUUUUGUUUGUUUUUUUUUU